rnacentral:tRNA from 1 species
GCCUGGGUGGCUCAGUCGGUUGAGCAUCCGACUUUAGCUUAGGUCAUGAUCUCAUGGUUUGUGGGUUCGAGCCCCGCACCGGGCU